rnacentral:rRNA from 1 species
CAGCCGCCGCGGUAAUACCAGCAGCCCAAGUGGUGGUCGCGAUUAUUGGGCCUAAAGCGCUCGUAGCCGGGCCGGUAAGUCCCUUGUGAAAUCGGACGGCCUAACCGUUCGGCGUGCAAGGGAUACUGUCGGUCUUGAGGCCGGGAGACGUCCGAGGUACUCCGGGGGUAGCGGUGAAAUGUUCUGAUCCUCGGGGGACCACCGGUGGCGAAGGCGUUCGACGAGAACGGGCCUGAUGGUGAGGGGCGAAGGCUAGGGGAGCAAACGGGAUUAGAUACCCGAGUAGUCCCUGUCUCUUAUA